rnacentral:rRNA from 1 species
GACGAACGCUGGCGGCGUGCUUAACACAUGCAAGUCGAACGGAAAGGCCCUGCUUUUGUGGGGUGCUCGAGUGGCGAACGGGUGAGUAACACGUGAGUAACCUUCCCUUGACUUUGGGAUAACUUCAGGAAACUGGGGCUAAUACCGGAUAGGAGCUCCUGCUGCAUGGUGUGGGUUGGAAAGUUUCGGCGGUUGGGGAUGGACUCGCGGCUUAUCAGCUUGUUGGUGGGGUAGUGGCUUACCAAGGCUUUGACGGGUAGCCGGCCUGAGAGGGUGACCGGCCACAUUGGGACUGAGAUACGGCCCAGACUCCUACGGGAGGCAGCAGUGGGGAAUAUUGCACAAUGGGCGGAAGCCUGAUGCAGCAACGCCGCGUGCGGGAUGACGGCCUUCGGGUUGUAAACCGCUUUCGCCUGUGACGAAGCGUGAGUGACGGUAAUGGGUAAAGAAGCACCGGCUAACUACGUG